rnacentral:rRNA from 2 species
AGCAGCCGCGGUAAUUCCAGCUCCAAUAGCGUAUAUUAAAGUUGUUGCAGUUAAAAAGCUCGUAGUUGAAUUUCGGGAUCAGUACGCUGGUCAUGCCUUUGGUAUGCACUGGUGUCACUGGUUUCUCCCUUCUGAAGAACCGUGAUGUCAUUAAUUUGGUGUCGCGGGGAAUCAGGACUGUUACUUUGAAAAAAUUAGAGUGUUUAAAGCAGGCUCACGCUUGAAUACAUUAGCAUGGAAUAAUGAAAUAGGACGUUUGACCCUAUUUUGUUGGUUUCUAGGAUCGACGUAAUGAUUAAUAGGGAUAGUUGGGGGCAUUAGUAUUCAAUUGUCAGAGGUGAAAUUCUUGGAUUUAUUGAAGACUAACUACUGCGAAAGCAUUUGCCAAGGAUGUUUUCAUUAAUCAAGAACGAAAGUUAGGGGAUCGAAGACGAUCAGAUACCGUCGUAGUCUUAACCAUAAACUAUGCCGACUAGGGAUCGGAUGAUGUUAAUUUUAUAAUGACUCA